rnacentral:rRNA from 1 species
AGUGAACGCUGGCGGUAGGCCUAACACAUGCAAGUCGAACGGCAGCACAGUAAGAGCUUGCUCUUACGGGUGGCGAGUGGCGGACGGGUGAGGAAUACAUCGGAAUCUACUUUUUCGUGGGGGAUAACGUAGGGAAACUUACGCUAAUACCGCAUACGACCUACGGGUGAAAGCAGGGGAUCUUCGGACCUUGCGCGAUUGAAUGAGCCGAUGUCGGAUUAGCUAGUUGGCGGGGUAAAGGCCCACCAAGGCGACGAUCCGUAGCUGGUCUGAGAGGAUGAUCAGCCACACUGGAACUGAGACACGGUCCAGACUCCUACGGGAGGCAGCAGUGGGGAAUAUUGGACUAUGGGCGCAAGCCUGAUCCAGCCAUACCGCGUGGGUGAAGAAGGCCUUCGGGUUGUAAAGCCCUUUUGUUGGGAAAGAAAAGCAGCAGGUUAAUACCCCGCUGUUCCGACGGUACCCAAAGAAUAAGCACCGGCUAACUUCGUG